rnacentral:lncRNA from 1 species
GGACGUGUCCCUGUCUUUGCACAUUGAUGCUGAAACCGCCCCUGGCGCUCAUGCAUUAAUCUCAACUCUCUGCGUCUGUGUUUCCUCCGUGUAGACAUGUUUUCGCUCAUAGGUGUCAAAAGUUUGGAGAGCACAACCAUUUGUCCUUAACCACACUCGUGGGAACCGACCAGCUCCGUCUAGAUCUUUAUAGAUGGAUCUAUAAAGAGUCAUUUUCUCAAAGUUCAAUAGGUAUGACUUCUACCCCCGUGGUCUCUGAAAAUCUGAACGGACUGCCCUGUCACCCCCUACACCUGAUCCUAGUUAUUGACAGAUAGAAACUGCCACACACAGAUUAUUUUAUUUCUAUACAAUUUAUGCAUGGAAUUAUAAUUUUAUACAUAGACACACAAGUUAUACCACUCUGUACACAUAUAUGAAAUACAUUAGUAUAUGUGUAUAUGCUUUUAUUAUAUAUAAUAAACAUAUGUGCAUACCUAUUGAUAUAUGUUCAUAUAUAUUCUAGUGUCUAUAUAUACCAUGUAUAUGUUCUCAUAUAUUUCUAAUAUAUGUAUAAUAGGUGUGUUCUAGUAUAUAUUUGAAUAUAUGUAUCUAUGUACUAGUAUAUUUUCUAAGAUAUAUCAUGUAGGUUCUAGCAUAUAUAUUCUAAUAUAUAUAGUUCUAUAACUUGUAUAUUUUAGAAAUUCUUUAUUGUUAUAUUAUUCAUGAGACAUUCAGGACUUCAAUCCAAAUGAGAACCUACAAUUUCUAGAAAAAGAGAGUAACAGAGUAGUUAUCUAAGUGAUGCCCACUUUGAAACAUGGCUGUAGGAGUUCCCGUCGUGGCACAGUGGUUAACGAAUCCGACUAGGAACCAUGAGGUUGCAGGUUCGAUCCCUGGCCUUGCUCAGUGGGUUAAGGAUCCAGCAUUGCCGUGAGCUGUGGUGUAGGUUGCAGACGUGUCUCGGAUCCUGUGUAGCUGUGGCUCUGGCGUAGGCUGGAGGCUGCAGAUCCAGUUCAACCCCUAGCCUGGGAACCUCCAUAUGCCGCGGGAGCGGCCUAAGAAA